rnacentral:rRNA from 1 species
GAUGAACGCUGGCGGCGUGCCUAAUACAUGCAAGUCGAGCGAACAGAUGAGGAGCUUGCUCCUCUGACGUUAGCGGCGGACGGGUGAGUAACACGUGGAUAACCUACCUAUAAGACUGGGAUAACUUCGGGAAACCGGAGCUAAUACCGGAUAAUAUAUUGAACCGCAUGGUUCAAUAGUGAAAGACGGUUUUGCUGUCACUUAUAGAUGGAUCCGCGCCGCAUUAGCUAGUUGGUAAGGUAACGGCUUACCAAGGCAACGAUGCGUAGCCGACCUGAGAGGGUGAUGCGCCACACUGGAACUGAGACACGGUCCAGACCCCCACGGGAGGCAGAAGUAGGGAAUCUUCCGCAAGGGGCGAAAGCCUGACGGAGCAACGCCGCGGGAGUGAUGAAGGUCUUCGGAUCGUAAAACUCUUUUAUGAGGGAAAAAAAAAUGUGUAAGUAACUAUGCCCGUCUGGACGGUACCUAAUCAGAAAGCCACGGCUAACUACGU